GGCGUGCCUAAUACAUGCAAGUCGAACGAACUCUGGUAUUGAUUGGUGCUUGCAUCAUGAUUUACAUUUGAGUGAGUGGCGAACUGGUGAGUAACACGUGGGAAACCUGCCCAGAAGCGGGGGAUAACACCUGGAAACAGAUGCUAAUACCGCAUAACAACUUGGACCGCAUGGUCCGAGUUUGAAAGAUGGCUUCGGCUAUCACUUUUGGAUGGUCCCGCGGCGUAUUAGCUAGAUGGUGGGGUAACGGCUCACCAUGGCAAUGAUACGUAGCCGACCUGAGAGGGUAAUCGGCCACAUUGGGACUGAGACACGGCCCAAACUCCUACGGGAGGCAGCAGUAGGGAAUCUUCCACAAUGGACGAAAGUCUGAUGGAGCAACGCCGCGUGAGUGAAGAAGGGUUUCGGCUCGUAAAACUCUGUUGUUAAAGAAGAACAUAUCUGAGAGUAACUGUUCAGGUAUUGACGGUAUUUAACCAGAAAGCCACGGCUAACUACGUGCCAGCAGCCGCGGUAAUACGUAGGUGGCAAGCGUUGUCCGGAUUUAUUGGGCGUAAAGCGAGCGCAGGCGGUUUUUUAAGUCUGAUGUGAAAGCCUUCGGCUCAACCGAAGAAGUGCAUCGGAAACUGGGAAACUUGAGUGCAGAAGAGGACAGUGGAACUCCAUGUGUAGCGGUGAAAUGCGUAGAUAUAUGGAAGAACCACCCAGUGGCGAAGGCGGCUGUCUGGUCUGUAACUGACGCUGAGGCUCGAAAGUAUGGGUAGCAAACAGGAUUAGAUACCCUGGUAGUCCAUACCGUAAACGAUGAAUGCUAAGUGUUGGAGGGUUUCCGCCCUUCAGUGCUGCAGCUAACGCAUUAAGCAUUCCGCCUGGGGAGUACGGCCGCAAGGCUGAAACUCAAAGGAAUUGACGGGGGCCCGCACAAGCGGUGGAGCAUGUGGUUUAAUUCGAAGCUACGCGAAGAACCUUACCAGGUCUUGACAUACUAUGCAAAUCUAAGAGAUUAGACGUUCCCUUCGGGGACAUGGAUACAGGUGGUGCAUGGUUGUCGUCAGCUCGUGUCGUGAGAUGUUGGGUUAAGUCCCGCAACGAGCGCAACCCUUAUUAUCAGUUGCCAGCAUUAAGUUGGGCACUCUGGUGAGACUGCCGGUGACAAACCGGAGGAAGGUGGGGAUGACGUCAAAUCAUCAUGCCCCUUAUGACCUGGGCUACACACGUGCUACAAUGGAUGGUACAACGAGUUGCGAACUCGCGAGAGUAAGCUAAUCUCUUAAAGCCAUUCUCAGUUCGGAUUGUAGGCUGCAACUCGCCUACAUGAAGUCGGAAUCGCUAGUAAUCGCGGAUCAGCAUGCCGCGGUGAAUACGUUCCCGGGCCUUGUACACACCGCCCGUCACACCAUGAGAGUUUGUAAC
rnacentral:rRNA from 1 species